CCACGGGGGGCUGCAGUGGGGAAUAUUGGACAAUGGGGGGAACCCUGAUCCAGCCAUGCCGCGUGUGUGAAGAAGGCCCUCGGGUUGUAAAGCACUUUCAGUGAGGAAGAACGCCUGGUGGUUAAUACCCAUCAGGAAAGACAUCACUCACAGAAGAAGCACCGGCUAACUCCGUGCCAGCAGCCGCGGUAAUACGGAGGGUGCGAGCGUUAAUCGGAAUUACUGGGCGUAAAGCGCGCGUAGGUGGCUUGAUAAGCCGGUUGUGAAAGCCCCGGGCUCAACCUGGGAACGGCAUCCGGAACUGUCAAGCUAGAGUGCAGGAGAGGAAGGUAGAAUUCCCGGUGUAGCGGUGAAAUGCGUAGAGAUCGGGAGGAAUACCAGUGGCGAAGGCGGCCUUCUGGACUGACACUGACACUGAGGUGCGAAAGCGUGGGUAGCAAACAGGAUUAGAUACCCUGGUAGUC
rnacentral:rRNA from 1 species